UUGUUCUUUCCAUAUUACAGAUUUGGCAUAUUUAAGUCUUCACAAUGGAUAGGUUAUGGAGUGAAUUGUAUCAUGAGAGAAAGUAAUGAUGAUUCCAUCUGCCAUUUUCAGUGGUUAAAGAGGACACACACUGUGAAGAGGAAAUGAAUCUAGGCUUUCACAGACUCUAAGCAUGAGGAGGGUCCAGCAGCUUAUUUCCCUAGCAGUUCAGUAAUUCUAGUCCCAUUUCCAGCUCAACCUGAAUGCUUUGACUUUCAGAUGGAUUGCAAAGGACCUCCUUGACUCUCAAAGAGGUAAUGACCUGAAUUACAGAGAAG
rnacentral:lncRNA from 1 species